CGCUCCCCGUCUAUGUCGCAUCGCUUUCCUUCCUCCCCGUCCGUAUCGCAGGCGGCAUCUAGCGCGCUCUCCUUCCUCCCGUCCGUAUCACAGCGCCAGUGUGUUGUCCGACGACGACAACGGGCCGCGCGGCCUCGCUCUUGUCGUCUGCAGCGAGGGGACCUCCGACGUACACGGCAGAUCAAGACGAGCAGCCGAUCGCGACGGUUCCGAUCAGCACAUUCGCCGCCGCGCGCGGCCGUCCUGCCGACAUCGCCGCCGAGCGACCACACCGACCAGAUUUUCAGAUGAUGAAUCCUUCAAACCGGGAGUAGGUUAUUGAUGGUCUCAGGCAGCUUCUGGGUUGAUCAAUCGUACAGGUUGCUUCUGGGUUGAUCAAUGUCAGUUUUGGUAUCCACCAUGAAACUGCCUGCCUUCAAUGAACCAUUCCAACGAUCUGGUGUUUUAUUUCAGAUAGCAGAGUUUGAGGACUGAGGUAUUAAUGUUUCAAAUAACACAGUUUCAGAUAAUCAGAUUUUGAUCAAUUUGCACAUCCAAGAUGCUGAUGAGAAAAGGAGGAAAAGCAGGAGUUACACCAUAUUUUUUGCUGAACCUAUGCGAGCAUCCAAUUCAUUUGUUGGCACGGAGGAGUACAUUCCGCCGCCUGAGAUCAUUACAGGAGGUGGCCAUAAUUGUAAAGAUAUCUGGUUAAGACGACAUAAUGUUUUACAGAUGAAGUUAUUCAAAAUCCAAUCUUCUUAAGACAUUUAUUUUCUUUUUUUACGUUCUUCAUAUACUCUCUGUUCUGAACUGGAUGGCACAGCGAGUACUUAAUUGUAAUUGAGAUUAGUAUUUUAUAUCGAUCAAAUAGAAUUUGAUCAUAAUUGUUAAUGAGAAUCUAUUAAAACGUCAUAAUGUUUAACAGAUGACGUAAGUCAAUUUCUAAU